ACAUGCAAGUCGAGCGAACAGAUGAAGUGCUUGCACUUCUGACGUUAGCGGCGAACGGGUGAGUAACACGUAAGGAAUCUACCUAUAAGCGGGGGAUAACAUUCGGAAACGGGUGCUAAUACCGCAUAAUAUCUUCUUCCGCAUGGAAGAAGAUUGAAAGACGGCUCUGCUGUCACUUAUAGAUGACCUUGCGGUGCAUUAGUUAGUUGGUGGGGUAACGGCCUACCAAGACGAUGAUGCAUAGCCGACCUGAGAGGGUGAUCGGCCACAUUGGGACUGAGACACGGCCCAAACUCCUACGGGAGGCAGCAGUAGGGAAUCUUCCGCAAUGGGCGAAAGCCUGACGGAGCAAUGCCGCGUGAGUGAAGAAGGCCUUCGGGUCGUAAAACUCUGUUAUAAGAGAAGAACAAAUUGUAGAGUAACUGCUACAGUCUUGACGGUAUCUUAUCAGAAAGCCACGGCUAACUACGUGCCAGCAGCCGCGGUAAU
rnacentral:rRNA from 1 species